rnacentral:rRNA from 1 species
GACGAACGCUGGCGGCGUGCUUAACACAUGCAAGUCGAACGGAAAGGCGCUGCUUUUGUUGGGUUCUCGAUUGGCGAACGGGUGAGUAACACGUGAGUAACCUGCCCUUGACUGUGGGAUAACUUCAGGAAACUGGGGCGAUUAUCGGAGAUGAUCUCUUGCUCCAUGUGGUGGGUUGGAAAAUUUCGGCUGUUGUGGAUGGUCUCGAGGCUUAUCAGCUUGUUGGGGUGGUAGUGGCUUACCAAGGUUUUGACGGGUAGGCGGCCUGGGAGGGUUACCGGGCACAUUGGGACUGAGGUACGGCGCAGACGGCUACGGGCGGCAACGGUGGAGAACAUUGCACAAUGGGCGGACGCCUGAUACAGAAACGCCGCGUGCGGAAUGACGGCCUUCGGGUUGUAAACAGAUUUCGAAUGUGACGAAGCGUGAGUGACGGUAAUGGGUAAAGAAGCCACGGCUAACUACGUG